AUCCGCUACUCUUGAUUCUCUCUCAACUGAUCCGGUUUCCCUCUGCGCGCGCCCACCGCCCUGGCCCUCGCUCACUGUGGCCCGAACCCUCGCCUUCCAGAGGGAAGGCCCGGUUCAUCCCUGGGAAGGUACAGGAGGCUCGAGACCUUCUAAAGCAGCUGCCGCGCAGGAGCAGGCCCUAGAACAGACGGAAGGCGGACCCGGCGCCGCGGAACGGAGGAUAGCGUCGGCUUCCUGCCGUUGGGCCUAGCCACCCGCCAGCGACGCCCGCCGGAGGGAGGGAUUGAGGGAGGGAGGGAGUCCAGAGGCCGGGGGAACGUGCGAGCAGAGGCGCGGCCACCGCAUCCGUGGCCAGGAUCUCGUGGCCCGCCGAGACGGUCGAAUUGUGGAGGCAGCCCGCAGCGGCGUGGCCUUCAGAGUCUCUGCAUUUGGUGAAGAACUUAAGUUUUCAAUAAAAAUAAAACUGCUGGAGCGGUGGCUCACACCUGUAAUCUCAGCACUUUGAGAGGCCGAGGUGGGCAGAUCACAUAAGGUCAGGAGUUCGAAACCAGCGUGGCCAACAUGGUGAAAACCUAUGUCUUCUAAAAAUACAAAAAAAAAAAAAAUUAGCUGGGCGUAGUAUCGCAUGCCUGCAGUUCCAGCUACUCGGGAGGCUGAAGCAUGAAAAUCACUAAAACCUGGGAGGCGGAGGUUGCAGUGAGCCGAAAUCAUGUCACUGCACUUAAGCCUGACUUUGUCAAAAAAAAAAAAAAAGAAAGAAAAAUAAACCUAACAUAAAUUUGUAAGUGCUUUUCUUUUUAUCUAAGUGUGAAAAUGUACUGGCCCUAAAAGAAAUUGUUAUAGAUAGUCAAUAUGGGAAUUUAUUAUAUUUACUUUAGUGUUAUACUUUUUAUGCACUCAAGUUCUUCCUGUACACUUACUUGACAGAAUAGGAAAUGCAAGAAUUGUGGAUGCUCAGAAAA
rnacentral:lncRNA from 1 species